rnacentral:tRNA from 3 species
GCUCCCUUAGCUCAGUUGGUCAGAGCAUUUAGGGUCGCCGGUUCAAGCCCGGCAGGGAGCA